UACGUAGGGCGCAAGCGUUGUCCGGAAUUAUUGGGCGUAAAGAGCUCGUAGGCGGUCUGUCGCGUCUGGUGUGAAAUCCCGAGGCUCAACCUCGGGCUUGCAUCGGGUACGGGCGGACUAGAGUGCGGUAGGGGGAGAUCGGAAUUCCUGGUGUAGCGGUGAAAUGCGCAGAUAUCAGGAGGAACACCGGUGGCGAAGGCGGAUCUCUGGGCCGAUACUGACGCUGAGGAGCGAAAGCGUGGGGAGCGAACAGG
rnacentral:rRNA from 1 species